GAGAGAGCGCUGAGGUGACGAGAGACUGGGAACUGAGGUCUUCCGGUCUGAGGUGCUGAGGUCUCAGGAUCGAGGGAUGAAAGAGAAGAGGAUCAAUCCCACACAACUCAUUAUCGCAUUGCAACCUGAGACUGGAAAUGCCUGGGGGCGGGAGGCGUUUCUCAGAGUAGAGCUCAGUCAUCCUGCAGAGCAGGGCACCAGUCCAAGGCUGCGGAAACAGCACAACAAUAACCGACUGCUUUCUGGUAUCUCUGUUAAAGUUCUCCAUUGUUUUAAAGGAAAACUGGUUUACGUCUUUCAGCAGAUUGCGUUUUGGCCCCUUCACAGAACAUGGCUGGAAGGGAUAUUAAUAUAAAUUGUGAAUGAUAUACAUCAUUCUGCAUUAUCCAUGUUGCAUCAAAGGAGAGGUGAUUUUUAGAGCAUGUUAGGAAUGUGCAGUUUGGCACAGCCAAGUGAGACAUUCCCUUUCAGACCUUUCUUCAGGCACUGCAAGUUUCUCAUAGGUCAAAAAGCCAAUCAUACACUGAUAGAAUCCAUGUGUCUUUGAUGACCAUAGUACAUGCUGCUCAUAAAAGCUGGUUCAACAAAAUUUCUGGUGUCUUUCCUGUCUGUGGCUAUAAUUACAUGAAAGCAGCAUUGUUUAAUUGAGAAAGCACAGUAGUGGAGUUCAUCGAUGAAUCUACAAACAGAUUUUCCUGAAAAGUCUCUUCUUUAAUUCAUAUUUCCCUGGGUUUUCUCCCACAUUUAACAAGAUUUUUCAUGCAAGCUUUAUUACAGAGAUUUUCUGCCAAGAUUUUGCAGCACCACUAGACAGAUGACUGACUUGAACAAGAUACGAUCACCUCUUCAUAAUGACAUGCAUGAUUACCCCUGCAAAUCAUUCAAUUAUGAUAAAGAUUUCAAAUGAAAGAAGGUAAUUUAUUUAUGCACUGUCCAGAAACAUUCAGUCUUUUGUGGAGCAAAACCUGAAUCUCAAUAUGGAAGUCUUUAGAGUAACUGUAACAAGACCAAUCAGCUAACCAGGAAGAAAUCAAAGACCUUAUUAAAGCAGUGCCAAGAAAAGUGCUACAGGGCACUGUGCUGCAGUAUAGAGUUACAGUAUGCCAUAAAGGCUGCAUUUAUUUCAAUAUUAACAUCUUAAAAAGCAGCAAAUUUUGCUUGGGAGACUGCAACCCUUGAGUUUCUAAGUGAUCUGGACCUUUCUAAUUCUUGUCAAAUAACAGCCAAGCCUUCUGUUUUUCAGCACAGCCAAAAAGCAAACCUUAAACAUAAACAGGAUUGAAGCUUUGGCACUGAGUGGAAUUUUUAAUUCAGCACUAAGCCAACUAUUGAAUUUAUUUUUCCUAGCACCUAAAUACCCCAUGGGUAUUAUAACACCACUGAUGCUCAGUGCCCCACAGGCCCAUGGCACAGUCUUUCCUCUGAAGAGCUUACAGAACCCACAGCCAAGCAACAUGGGCUUGUUUUGUCUUUAUUCUGGGAGUACAGAUGGCAUUCAGUUCUGCUAAGUUAAAAUAAAUAUCAGAAUUUAAAUAUAACA
rnacentral:lncRNA from 1 species